UGCCCCCUUGGCAAUGGGCAAAGAGACACAUUGUUGGUGAUACUGUUCUUAUAUCAGUCAGGGGCAGAGCAGAUGGCAGGCCUUUGUUCAUUCCAGCUUGAUGCCUGUCUUGGUGGUCAAAGCUGUUUUCUGCCUAGGACUCAUAA